ACUGCAUGAAGAGGUGGCAGAACGCAGUCAGAGCGUGGCUUCACCAAGCGGCACCGUGCCUCGGCUUCUCGUCACGGCCACUGUCCAUUUCUUCCCACCUUCCACUCCCAGUGAUACAAUGCUGUGCCUAGUUGACAAUAAAAUCGAGUUGGGACACAGAUACACAAGUGGACAAUGGAAAACGCUCUGCUCCUGUGGUGCUAUGCAGUCCUGGAAUGCCUUAUGAGGAUGGAACAGGACCAUCGUAAAGGUCACUGCAACAAGUACUUCAGGAACUGUACGAAGACACAAGAGGGCAGAAACAAGUGGUUUUCUUGACCGAGAGCUUUAAACAGGUAGCAACUUCCACCCAUCACCAUGGAAUUACUUAAGUCUCCCUAUUGAUUCAACACUGUCAUCGGUGUAACUUGGUUCCUCAAAUGAUGAAACAGAGUCUAAGGUGCAAUGACAUGUAAAGGACACACUCUUCACAAGUGAUAGAGUUAGGGUUCAGCUCAAAGUCCCAGGGUAUCCAAGCACAGGGAUAUUUAUCCACAGAUCCCCAACACAAGUCUGGUGAGUUGUCACCAGUGUGUUAUCUAUGGGCGUUUUCCUAUAAGAAGAGGAGUUGGUCAUUAUACAGGCUACCCACACUAUUUGAUUCAGGUAGCAAAGAAUCUUAUCAACCAUGUGUUUUACUUUUCAACUUGAUUAAAUAUUUUACCAGGAAUGUCAAGUGUCUACGUUCCUGUGGGCAUAUAGAGAUUUUGCGUAUUUAGUUUGGUAUAUUCCAAAAAUAGAAUCUUUACAUACAAAAAAAAAAAAAAGCCCUGUCACUCUUAAGAUGUAGUAUAAUGUUUGAUGUUUACUGAAAACACAUAAUGCAUUAAUGGCAAAAUUUGAAAGUAUCAAAAAAUUUAAUUCACAUACAUCCUCAAAGUUCUUUUUGCAUAAUUUUUAUGUAUUUUAUCACCUUUACUUACCUGUACUUAUACAUAUAAUUAAGCCCAGCUUAUUGCAUUUGCCUUAUGGUUCAUAUAAACUCUUUAUAUGAUAUGCUAAUUCUUUAUAUUUCUACAUCAAGUUAUUCAUGACAGUUGUUUCCAUUUGACUUGUUUGUUGAGGCAUAAUAUUUUAAAAUAGUUAUCACCUUCUACCUUUUCACUGUUUUUUUUCUACAUGUGUGUUGCAUGGUGUGUGUGUGUGUGUGUGUGUGUGUGCACGCGCACAAUUCAGAGUUGGUUCUGGGGGUUGAACUCUAGUUGCACAGUAAAUACUAAGCAAGUUUAUCUGCUGAGCCAUCAUGCUGGCUUUAACGAUUCCUGUAGAAGCUGUCUAACCUUUCUACUAUCCUUAUAAAGAAGCAUUCUUCCUAUGGUUUGUUGACUGUCCAAUGCUGUUUUCAAGUCAUGCUAUCUUUAACUCUUUAAUUAGUUUUGACACAAAAUAUGGAUCUAAUUUUAAGUUACUUAAUUAAUUAUACCACUAUAAUUUUAUACUGCCUGUUGAAGAACUAAUGUUCUAUUGUUUCAUUAUUUACACUAUUACAUUUUACAUACAGUGAAGGCCAAAUGAGAUUUCAAUUUUAUAAAAGGGAAUUCCUUGUUUAUGUAUUUAUUCUAAAAUGAACCUGUUUCAUUUAUUAUUACAUACAUGAGAGUAUUUUAAUUUAAUGAAUGUUAAAUAUGAGGGUUGAAUGUUGAUAUUCUCCAAUAUAUUUAAAUAUAGUUUGUUCCUGAAUAUUCUAUUCAUUGUUAUUUCAAUAUUAAUACAAAGACCCAUCUUCUUGCUUGGCAUGUUUCUGUUUCAAAUAUAACAUAAUUCCGAAGCUC
ensembl:antisense Gm10848 predicted gene 10848